AAAUUAGUGUGUAGCUUGAUCUUUAAGUUCUUCAAUACUAUGCCAAUUUUUACAUCAAUCUGACUAUUAGAUCUUUAGAUAUCAUAGAAAUCCUAUCCAACCUCUAACUGCCACCUUCCGAAAUCCUCUUGUGCUAAAAACUAGAUAUCUCUAAACCACGCUGUUAGAUUAUCACAAAAUUUUCUAUACACUUAGCACACUCAAUAAUCCAAAUUGUUUCAAACUUUUAAUCAUAGAUGUUACACCAAUUGCACAAACUAGCCAAAAUUGUUAGCCCUAAUUAUGUUAUAUAAAACCCAAAUCAUUGAUACAAAUCCUAACUUCGAACAACAAUUGCUAAGUUCUCCAAAACUUUCUCAAAACAAUUCUUAUGUUUCUGAAAAGAACUUCAAGCUAGCUCUCAAACCCUCACCUUUGAUCUUCAAAUGACGUCCUAACUUGCCCUGGGCAGUCGAUUUAGUGACCAAAGGUCUGAUUUCGAUCCUAUCUCACAAAUGGUCGACCCCUGGGUAUCAAUCUAAUUUAUCUUAAGGAGUUUUUAGCCC
rnacentral:lncRNA from 1 species